rnacentral:rRNA from 1 species
GACGAACGCUGGCGGCGUGCCUAAUACAUGCAAGUCGAACGCAGUGGGGACGGGUGAGUAACACGUGGGUAACCUCCCAUCAGAGGGGGAAAUACUUGGAAACAGGUGCUAAACCGCUACUGAUGGCAGGACCAGCGGUGCAUUAGCUCGUUGGUGAGGUAACGGCUCACCAAGGCCACGAUGCAUAGCCGACCUGAGAGGGUGAUCGUCCACACUGGGACGGAGACACGGCCAAGACUCCUACGGGAGGCAGCAGUAGGGAAUCUUCGGCAAUGGACGAAAGUCUGACCGAGCAACGCCGCGUGAGUGAAGAAGGUUUUCGGAUCGUAAAGCUCUGUUGUUAGAGAAGCGGUAUCUAACCAGAAAGGCACGGCUAACGACAUGGCAGCAGCCGCGGUAAUAC